ensembl:lncRNA
GUAGAGAGACCAUUACAGUUUCCAUUAAAACCAAUACAAUUCCCAUUAUAACCAUUACAAAUUAAAUGAGGAUUUAUAUUGGGUUUUUUCCCCAGCAGGGUGUACUGGUACACAGAUGUUUGAGGUGACAAUCGGGAUUUGUUUAGUAAUGUUUUUAAUGUUAUUGUUGGUAUUUUGCUGUGGUAUAAGAGGAAUAAAACCAGCAGGGAAUAUCAACUUUGAUAAAUAAUCAGCUUCAGGGAGCUAAUAGUAACUCUGCUUCAUCACACCGCCCCAGCAUGGGGUUUAAAUAAAAUGCUUUAUUCGGAAUAGAGCGGGACACCAGAACUCUGGAUUACAUUAUUUUCCACCUCGGUGGGUUCGAGCUACAACGUGGGGAAAAAACAUGGACAUGUUUGUCUUUCAUGAGCAACAAACUAUCAGAAAUGAAGCGGGAUUUUAUUGACCAUUGAUACCUUGAGUGGCCAUGUUGGUUUGAUGUCACUUACAGAACUCAGGGUUGUUGUUGUUGUUGUUAUUAUUAUUAUUAUUAUUCUGUUGCCCUGUCUGUAUGGAGUUUGCAUGUUCUCCCCGUGCUGCGGGGGUUUUCUCCGGGUACUCCGGUUUCCUCCCCCAGUCCAAACACAUGCAUGGUAGUCUGAUUGGUGUGUCUAAAGUGUGUAUGCUAUAAUAAAAAACAACUACAGUUCUGCCGCUGUGUUUCAAAAAUGAGGUAAAUCCGCGGAUCUGGCAACUCGCACAUCCCGUGACUCCCACAUGUUUAUUAAACCUGCUUAUUUUGUAAUAUUUAUUACACCGAAUCAUGAGCAGAAACCUUGUUUGUUUGUUUUUCCUCAUAGCACGAUCACGCAAAACCACGCGCGUUUGUUAUAUUCGUGUGUUUUUUUUCGGUUUCUCACGCGGACAGACCGAGUUGUUUACCUCUUCGCUCCGUGACGUCACGACACACCCCUUGUGCGCGUACGUGUGUAUGUGUGUGUAUAUGUGUGUGAGAGAGAGAGUGAGAGAGAGAGAGAGUGUGUGUCGUCCCAAACGUCGGAACAGUGCGCGUGUGGCGUGGCAAUGGGGUCUCGCGCAUAAACCCCUAAAAAAACAAACAAAAAAAAACAACCAUAACAGCCAGGAGCGCGCGCGGCGUGUCCGUGGGUUACUGCGCGAGGAGCCGAGGCGGGGCGUUAUUACAACCGACCCCCUUUCCCCCGUUUCUCUCUCUAUCUCUACUGGGGUCCAAGUUCAAAGUUUGUACGUGUUUUCUUUUUUUCUUCCUCCGCUCUACGUACCGGAAAGCAGGCGCGCGCUCUGUUUUAUUUGAUCGCACGCGGAUAAGAUCGGUCUGACGCGUCUCCGCGUUUCUUCUCCUCCACGCCUCGGUGUGUGCUCGCGCUGGCGGCAACUUCUCGCCAUAGGAAUGAGAUAAACGCACGCGCACAUCCAUACAUACACAUGAACACACGCGUUUGCGAAAAAAAAGAAAAGAGGAAAGUUCCGGGGAAGCGGAGUGGAGAGAGUAACGAGCAAGCGCGAGGAGGAGACAGAAGAAGAAAAACACACACACACACACACGGGAUAAAGAGAAAGUUGCACGGUCCGGAACUGAAGUGGAUUAAAGUGGAGCCACGAGACAUCAACAACAACGAGACCGCAAACAAAAGCGCUGCACAAGAUUGCUAACGAUAAAUAAACAACAACAACAACAAUAAUAACCCCGCUCGAGCGUGCGCGCGCGUCCCUACUGCGCUUUCCGUCUUCUUUUUAUUACCUGGCACGCGCUGAAUAGUAUCCUAACUUUACUAUCCUAAACACGAGGAACUUUUACAUUGUCUCACAGUACCGUGUGUGUGUGUUACAUUAAUGCACGUGCACGCGGGAAAGAAAGAGAGGAAACAAAACGCUUGACGGAAACGAGAGGAGGAAAAAAAACACGGUCACGGAACCUCGGUGAGGAAGAGGAGCACACACUGAUGUGAAGAAGGAAUGCAAAAGAACUCGGUUCUUGAAUAAGACAAAAAAAAGAGAAACCACAAAGAAGUGUAAACUCCUGGAUCUCUGUGCUGUUCUGUGAUUGGCCCAUGGAUCUCUGUGCUGUUCUGUGAUUGGCUGGUGGAGCGUUGUGCUGUUUUCCAGAAUUCAGACACAUUCAGUGGGUUUCCCAGCCCAUAACACAUUUUGUCAAACUUUAGUUGUGAAUUUAUUCAACAAGAACAGGAAGAUUUAAGAUUGUAAAUAAUCGCUGUGUUUAAACCUGCUUUAGACAUUUUCUACAAAUUCUAUGCCAUUUGUAUAAAAAAAUUUAAUAACAUUUCCUGAAAUACAACUCAUGAAAAAUAUCAUUGAAAUAUCAUGAAAAUAUUAUUAUUAUUAUUAUUAUUUAGAUUUUUAUUACUAUUAUUAUUUUUAUUAUUAUUAUUAUCACGUUGCAGUUUGUUGUCGGUUC